CAUUUAUUCGAAAAAACUUUGAUUUGUUUCUUAAAAUAUUCAAAUGGGAUAACAGUUUUCUUUUACAUAAUCUAUGAGUUUAUAUUGAUGUUUUAUUAUGUUUUUGGUGAUUUAGUGUUUUUUUUUUUCAAAUUAUGAUUUUAUAUUACAUAUAAAGUAUACACACAGGUUAUUGGAUACAAAAAGACAGACACUUCAUACUUCAUCAAGCUUCAUGUAUAUGGAGGUGUAAAAGGGUGGGUACGAGAAAAGUUAUUCAUUUGGAGAUAGACAUUUAUUUGGCCUAUUGGCAAUAUAGAUGCAGAGGAAAUAUUUGAGGAGGUAUUGUUUGACAGGAUUGGACAG